GACAGAAGGGAGCUUGCUCCCGAGAUGUUAGCGGCGGACGGGUGAGUAACACGUGGGUAACCUGCCUGUAAGACUGGGAUAACUCCGGGAAACCGGAGCUAAUACCGGAUAGUUCCUUGAACCGCAUGGUUCAAGGAUGAAAGACGGUUUCGGCUGUCACUUACAGAUGGACCCGCGGCGCAUUAGCUAGUUGGUGAGGUAACGGCUCACCAAGGCGACGAUGCGUAGCCGACCUGAGAGGGUGAUCGGCCACACUGGGACUGAGACACGGCCCAGACUCCUACGGGAGGCAGCAGUAGGGAAUCUUCCGCAAUGGACGAAAGUCUGACGGAGCAACGCCGCGUGAGUGAUGAAGGUUUUCGGAUCGUAAAGCUCUGUUGUUAGGGAAGAACAAGUGCAAGAGUAACUGCUUGCACCUUGACGGUACCUAACCAGAAAGCCACGGCUAACUACGUGCCAGCAGCCGCGGUAAUACGUAGGUGGCAAGCGUUGUCCGGAAUUAUUGGGCGUAAAGGGCUCGCAGGCGGUUUCUUAAGUCUGAUGUGAAAGCCCCCGGCUCAACCGGGGAGGGUCAUUGGAAACUGGGAAACUUGAGUGCAGAAGAGGAGAGUGGAAUUCCACGUGUAGCGGUGAAAUGCGUAGAGAUGUGGAGGAACACCAGUGGCGAAGGCGACUCUCUGGUCUGUAACUGACGCUGAGGAGCGAAAGCGUGGGGAGCGAACAGGAUUAGAUACUCUGGUAGUCCACGCCGUAAACGAUGAGUGCUAAAUGUUAGGAGGUUUCCGCCCCUUAGUGCUGC
rnacentral:rRNA from 1 species